GACGAACGCUGGCGGCGUGCUUAACACAUGCAAGUCGAACGGAAAGGCCCUGCUUUUGUGGGGUGCUCGAUUGGCGAACGGGUGAGUAACACGUGAGUAACCUGCCCUUGACUUUGGGAUAACUUCAGGAAACUGGGGCUAAUACCGGAUAGGAGCUCCUGCUGCAUGGUGGGGGUUGGAAAGUUUCGGCGGUUGGGGAUGGACUCGCGGCUUAUCAGCUUGUUGGUGGGGUAGUGGCUUACCAAGGCUUUGACGGGUAGCCGGCCUGAGAGGGUGACCGGCCACAUUGGGACUGAGAUACGGCCCAGACUCCUACGGGAGGCAGCAGUGGGGAAUAUUGCACAAUGGGCGGAAGCCUGAUGCAGCAACGCCGCGUGCGGGAUGACGGCCUUCGGGUUGUAAACCGCUUUCGCCUGUGACGAAGCGUGAGUGACGGUAAUGGGUAAAGAAGCACCGGCUAACUACGUG
rnacentral:rRNA from 1 species